GUGGGGAAUAUUGGACAAUGGGCGCAAGCCUGAUCCAGCCAUGCCGCGUGUGUGAAGAAGGCCUUUUGGUUGUAAAGCACUUUAAGCGAGGAGGAGGCUACUGAGAUUAAUACUCUUGGAUAGUGGACGUUACUCGCAGAAUAAGCACCGGCUAACUCUGUGCCAGCAGCCGCGGUAAUACAGAGGGUGCGAGCGUUAAUCGGAUUUACUGGGCGUAAAGCGUGCGUAGGCGGCUUUUUAAGUCGGAUGUGAAAUCCCUGAGCUUAACUUAGGAAUUGCAUUCGAUACUGGGAAGCUAGAGUAUGGGAGAGGAUGGUAGAAUUCCAGGUGUAGCGGUGAAAUGCGUAGAGAUCUGGAGGAAUACCGAUGGCGAAGGCAGCCAUCUGGCCUAAUACUGACGCUGAGGUACGAAAGCAUGGGGAGCAAACAGGAUUAGAUACCCUUGUAGUCC
rnacentral:rRNA from 1 species